rnacentral:rRNA from 1 species
AGAGUUUGAUCCUGGCUCAGAACGAACGCUGGCGGCGUGCUUAACACAUGCAAGUCGAACGCGAAAAUUUUCCUCGGAAAGUGAGUAGAGUGGCGCACGGGUGAGUAACGCGUAAGUUAUCUACCUCGGCAUCCGGAAUAACUCACCGAAAGGUGUGCUAAUACCGGAUACGUUGAGUAAUCAAGAAAGGUGGCCUCUGAAUAUGCUACUGUGCUGAGAUGAGCUUGCGUACCAUUAGCUAGUUGGUAGGGUAAUGGCCUACCAAGGCAACGAUGGUUAGCGGGUCUGAGAGGAUGAUCCGCCACACUGGAACUGAAACACGGACCAGACUCCUACGGGAGGCAGCAGUGAGGAAUAUUGCGCAAUGGGGGAAACCCUGACGCAGCGACGCCGCGUGGAUGAUGAAGGCCUUCGGGUCGUAAAAUCCUGUCAGAUGGAAAGAAAUGCAUGGUGGCUAAUACCUGCCAUGUUUGACGGUACCAUCGAAGGAAGCACCGGCUAACUCCGUGCCAGCAGCCGCGGUAAUACGGAGGGUGCAAGCGUUGUCCGGAAUUACUGGGUGUAAAGGGUCCGCAGGCGGGUAAGCAAGUCGGUGGUGAAAUCCUGCAGCUCAACUGCAGAACUGCCUCCGAUACUGUUUAUCUUGAGUACGAGAGAGGAUGAUGGAAUUCAUGGUGUAGCGGUGAAAUGCGUAGAGAUCAUGAAGAACACCGGUUGCGAAGGCGAUCAUCUGGCUCGUUACUGACGCUCAGGGACGAAAGCGUGGGGAGCAAACAGGAUUAGAUACCCUGGUAGUCC